AGUAAAGAAAGCAUCUGAUUUGAUCCAUAAUUUCAGCAUAAGUUUUCUUAGAUCUGAGGAGGAAAACCUGUCUUAUUAUUUUUUGAUUAUUUUUUCCAGGAAGUUUAGAAACUCUGGAUGGGAGCUUGGAAUAAUUAUGGGAAGUCAAAAUAGAAACAGUCAGAUAAUCAGGUGGAAGGAUGUGGUCUAGGGAAAUAAGAAAGUUAAAGGUUAAUUAUGUUAUCUUUUUUCAAUAUUCUUGCUCAAUGAUAGGGAUUGCCAUUGUCACUGUGGAGAAAAAUUGAAAGCCUGAUUUCUAAUUUUUAUUUGGUUACAUGCUUGUAUUGUGGAAAAAAAAAAAAAAAGCAGAAGUAAAAAAGGUUUUUCAGCUGAGAAUUUUAGCUAGAGCUUUAUGUCCACUCAAGAGAAAUACUUCAGAAUAAAAUAGGCCAAAGUGUUUGACUUCCUGGCAUACAUUUUUAACAAUUAAAUUGGGCUACCUUAACAAGCCAUUUCAAAGACAUUUUCUGUUUGAAGCAGCCUGGCCCCUUAGUGUGAGAGGAUGUAGCUUGAUUAUCUGUCAGUAAACCAGGAAAAGACUUUCAGGUGGUCUUACUUGGAUGGAAAACCUGGCUCUGGGAGAGAGAAAAUGCUUUGGGGCUAAGAGGCAAAGGCAUGGGACAAAGCCAGGAGAAGGAAAUUUAGAGCAUACAAUGAACUGGAAAAAACUCAAACAAGGUGCAGCGGGAAAGUACUGAUGACAUUAUUUAUUCUGGGAACACUGACCCCUUCUCUGGGUGAAAGACUGAACCCACUCACCUCAUCAAAACAAGCCAAGAUUGUGUGCUUCUCAGGGAAAUGUCAGACUAAAGGUACACUAACUAAACCCCUUUUAUUAUGAAAGUUUUGAAUAUUUUCUGUAGCACCUGGUUUUCGAAAGCAGAAUCUAGAGAAGAGAUUCUGAGACAUUAUCAAAGAAAAAUUGAACUUUAUGGUGUUAAACAGGCAAAGAAGACUUUAAUCAAAGCCCUAGCAAUAAGCAAGACUGAACUCAACUCUCCUGGAACAAAAAGGAAAACGGUUCUUUAAGCACUGGGGUGAGCUGGUGGAAAGUACUGAAGGAUGAAACCUAGGAGAUAGGAGCACUCCCACCUUUAAAGGCUACAUUUAACAGGAUGGCUCCAGGCUCUUGAGAAAGACCUUUCUGGGUUGUAAAAGUGACUUUUUAAAAGACUUACUUCUCAAAGGGGAAGAGAAAAAAUUUGUAACUGACAGUUUUUCUGGAAAAAAAAAAAAAAAAAAGAAAAGAAAAAGUGCUCUAAGAAGAAAAGGGAGGUCAGGGAAAGAAGCCUGCAUUUUAGUGAAGCUGAAUGGAAUGCUUAGGACUUCUUUGC